UGGGGAAUAUUGCGCAAUGGGGGGAACCCUGACGCAGCCAUGCCGCGUGAAUGAAGAAGGCCUUAGGGUUGUAAAGUUCUUUCGGUAUUGAGGAAGGUUGAUGUGUUAAUAGCACAUCAAAUUGACGUUAAAUACAGAAGAAGCACCGGCUAACUCCGUGCCAGCAGCCGCGGUAAUACGGAGGGUGCGAGCGUUAAUCGGAAUAACUGGGCGUAAAGGGCACGCAGGCGGUUAUUUAAGUGAGGUGUGAAAGCCCCGGGCUUAACCUGGGAAUUGCAUUUCAGACUGGGUAACUAGAGUACUUUAGGGAGGGGUAGAAUUCCACGUGUAGCGGUGAAAUGCGUAGAGAUGUGGAGGAAUACCGAAGGCGAAGGCAGCCCCUUGGGGAUGUACUGACGCUCAUGUGCGAAAGCGUGGGGAGCAAACAGGAUUAGAUACCCUGGUAGUCCACGCUGUAAACGCUGUCGAUUUGGGGGUUGGGGUUUAACUCUGGCGCCCGUAGCUAACGUGAUAAAUCGACCGCCUGGGGAGUACGGCCGCAAGGUUA
rnacentral:rRNA from 1 species